GGAGGCGACUGUUUUUUUUUAGUUUCUUUUUUUUUUCCUUUCUCCUUUCUUCUUACCUCUCUAUCUUAGAUAGUGGGGGAAAAAAUAUAUGUAUUUUCAUGAUGCGAUGAAGAGAGAAAUGAUCUCUAUCUAGAUUGAUGGGUUCGUGUUCGAAUCCAAUCCGUCGACAUGAAGUCCUUCAUCUGAGCUCAUAGCUUCGAUUAUGAUCUAGACGGAAGGAAUUGUACGGGUUACUUUACUAAAAACUGCUUAAAAUGAUGGAAGAGCUGCAUUUCUACGAGUACUCUUAUGAAAUGGACCUUUAAUUUUUGGUGAAAGGAGAAUGAUGGGUCAUUCGAUUAAUUGGGAUUUUCUAACGUUUGAACCUCCGUUGAUGGCCUCUCUGAUCGCCGCCAUAAACUUGCCCGGCGAUUGGCAUUUAAAGUUCAUAUUGUAUCAACAAAUGUAGUUGUAUAUCCCUUGUAUCCAUUUAUUAGCUUUGGCUUCUUGUGUAAUUUGAUUGCGAAAAAUUCUCUAAGGAUCCAAAAUAUGAGACCAAUAGGGGAGAUACGUGAGGUGUCUUCCUCCUAUUGUAUAAUGAGUUGAUCAUCAUUGAGGGUCAGUUUAUCAUUAUGUAAAUAGGAGGGGAACACCUCACCUGUUUUCCUUGUUGGUCUAAUAAUGAUAGUUCCUUGUUGGUCUAAUAAUGAUAGUCAGCUCAUUAUGUAAUAAGAGGGGGAUACCUCAUAUGUUUUCUAUGUUAGUUCCAUAUUUUGGGUC